CUAAUUAACCUAUACGACAAUAGUAUGCUCCGACUUCAGAAUCACGCACAUGGAAUGGAAGAUGCCCAACGACGUAUAAUAAGCCGGUCAAAUGAGGGGUACUACUUUUCUUUACGCCUUAUUAAGUUGGUGAUUUUUUUUUGUUUUAGUUAUUGUAGCAUUUUCUGUUUGUAUUUGGUAAUUAUUAUCUAAUUAUAAACUAACUAGUUUAAAAAUAUCGUCUUAUAAAUUGCAAGUAAUUUGUAAGUAAAUUGUAUAUUUUUUUUAUCUAUAUUUAAUAUUCUAUACAUACGUCUAAAGAUUUAAUAUGACGAUAAUUUUUUUAAAAAAAUAGAAGCUUGUCAGAGCAUUCUCGUGAAUUUGACUUGCGUUCCAAGAGCUGGCAGUUGCAGCCCGGCACAGGUGGAGUAUGAGUAGCAUCCAAGUAAGGGCCAUCCGUGGAACUUGCAAAAGCUAUAGGGUGCCAUCCGAAAAAAUAGUGAUAAUAAUAAUCACCGUGGUAAAAUCGGUAAUGUACGUUGCACUUGCACCCACGCGUAGUUAAAAAGGUAUUGUUUAGUUCACUUAAAAACAAAAAAAAAUUUCAAGAUUUUUCGUCACAUCGAAUCUUCGACACAUGCAUAAAGCAUUAAAUAUAAACGAAAAUAAAAACUAAUUGCACAGUUUACCUGUAAAUCAUGAGACGAAUCUUUUGAUCUUAAUUAGUCUAUGAUUGGACAAUAUUUUUGUCACAAACAAACGAAAAUACUAUAAUAGCGAAAUUCAAAAUCUUUUCGCAUCUAAACAAGGGCUUUGUUUAGUUCCCAAAAGAUUUUACAAAAUUUUUCAAAUUCCCCGUCACAUGAAAUCUUUAGACGUAUGCAUGAAGUAUUAAAUAUAGACGAAAAUAAAAACUAACUACAC
rnacentral:lncRNA from 1 species